rnacentral:tRNA from 1 species
GUGACUCAGUGGUAGAGUGCUUGCCUUGUAUGCAUGAGGUCUGGGUUCGAUCCCUCAGC